CCUACGGGGUGCAGCAGUGGGGAAUAUUGGACAAUGGGGGGAACCCUGAUCCAGCCAUGCCGCGUGUGUGAAGAAGGCCCUCGGGUUGUAAAGCACUUUCAGUGAGGAAGAACGCCUGGUGGUUAAUACCCAUCAGGGAAGACAUCACUCACAGAAGAAGCACCGGCUAACUCCGUGCCAGCAGCCGCGGUAAUACGGAGGGUGCGAGCGUUAAUCGGAAUUACUGGGCGUAAAGCGCGCGUAGGUGGCUUGAUAAGCCGGUUGUGAAAGCCCCGGGCUCAACCCGGGAACGGCAUCCGGAACUGUCAAGCUAGAGUGCAGGAGAGGAAGGUAGAAUUCCCGGUGUAGCGGUGAAAUGCGUAGAGAUCGGGAGGAAUACCAGUGGCGAAGGCGGCCUUCUGGACUGACACUGACACUGAGGUGCGAAAGCGUGGGUAGCAAACAGGAUUAGAUACCCGUGUAGUC
rnacentral:rRNA from 1 species